rnacentral:sRNA from 10 species
GCUGGGUGUGGUGGUGGACACCUGUAAUCCCAGCUACUCGGGAGGCUGAGGCAGGAGAAUCACUUGAACCCAGGAGGCAGAGAUUGCAGUAAGCCGAGAUUGUGCCACUGCACUCCAGCCUGGCGACAGAGUGAGACUCUGUCUCAAAAAAAAAAAAACGGCCAGGCGCGGUGGCUCACGCCUGUACUCCCAGCACUUUGGGAGGCCGAGACAGGUGGAUCACGAGAUCAGAAGAUCGAGACUAUCCUGGCUAACACAGUGAAAUCCUGUCUACU